rnacentral:tRNA from 1 species
GCCGAGGUAGCUCAGCCGGUAGAGCACGCGACUGAAAAUCGCGGUGUCCCCAGUUCGAUUCUGGGCCUCGGCACCA